CUCCUCAGCUGCUGCGAGAAAGGAAAAAGCGAAACACGAGAGUCCUCAAAUUCUAAACUUUCCGAUUCUGCAAGAGACAACAUUACCCAGUGUUGACAAAGAAGUGACAAAGGAUAAGAAGUGACAAAGGGAGAAAUUUUCUGUGCAAGUUGCUGCAAAGCACAGUCUACUGGCAGUUCCUUUGGAUUCAGGCUCCUAUGAUAUGGGGGCGCAUAGCCUAUGAACUGCAGCUGCCUGUAAAUACAAUGUUCACCUCAGCCACCAUUCGUUAUCUCCUAAUGCUGCACAAAGGACCAUAAAGGAACCAUAGAAGGACUUUAUUAAUAUUAUUUAUUUACUUUAUUUAGCUUGGUUUAAGCUUUGUCCUCUGGCAUCCUGUUAGCAGAUUUGUGCUAAAAAAAAAAAAAAUAUCCUACAUUUAUUUUGGACAAAUAAUGAAUACAGCUCCUUUGCAAAAAAAAAAGUGGUGGACAUCAAACAGUAGACAACUUUGAAAGAUGUUCUAAAAAAAAUGUGCAGGAAAUGUAAUUGUGCAAAAUUUGCAGGGACAUUUAGAACAUUAAACUUGUGUAAAGCCAAUGAUAUA